CCUCUCCCGACACCCCUGCCCCCAGCAACCCUCAGUUUGUUUUGUGAGAUUAAAAGUCUCUUAUGUUUUGUCUCCCUCCAGAUCCCUUCUUAUUUCAUUUAUUCUUUUCCUACCCCUCCAACCCUCCCCCCGACAUUGCAUCUCCACUAGAAGAAAGUCCUCAUCUCAGGGAGAUC